AGAGUUUGAUCCUGGCUCAGAUUGAACGCUGGCGGCAUGCUUUACACAUGCAAGUCGAGCGGCAGCGCGGGGCUCAGGCAACUGAGCCCUGGCGGCGAGCGGCGAACGGGUGAGUAACACAUCGGAACGUAUCCCGUAGUGGGGGAUAACCCGGCGAAAGCCGGGCUAAUACCGCAUAUGCUCCACGGAGGAAAGUGGGGGACCCAGCAGGCAACUGAGGGGCCUCACGCUAUGGGAGCGGCCGAUGUCCGAUUAGCUAGUUGGUGGGGUAAAGGCCUACCAAGGCGACGAUCGGUAGCUGGUCUGAGAGGAUGAUCAGCCAGACUGGGACUGAGACACGGCCCAGACUCCUACGGGAGGCAGCAGUUAGGAAUUUUGGGCAAUGGGCGCAAGCCUGACCCAGCAACGCCGCGUGGGUGACGAAGGCCUUCGGGUUGUAAAGCACUUUCGGACGGAACGAAAUCGCGCGAGUUAAUAGUUCGCGUGGAUGACGGUACCGUAAGAAGAAGCACCGGCUAACUACGUGCCAGCAGCCGCGGUAAU
rnacentral:rRNA from 1 species